rnacentral:misc_RNA from 1 species
CAACGACGAUAGCUUAUAUAGAGCACAUUGGAGAAUAGAUAAUUAUAUAAAC